UGGGGAAUUUUGCACAAUGGGGGAAACCCUGAUGCAGCGACGCCGCGUGAUUUAGAAGGCCUUCGGGUUGUAAAAAUCUUUUCUAUGGGAAGAAAAUGACAGUACCAUAGGAAUAAGGACCGGCUAAUUACGUGCCAGCAGCCGCGGUAAUACGUAAGGUCCGAGCGUUGUCCGGAAUCAUUGGGCGUAAAGGGUACGUAGGCGGGUAAGCAAGUUAGAAGUGAAAUCCUAUAGCUCAACUAUAGUAAGCUUUUAAAACUGCUCAUCUUGAGGUAUGGAAGGGAAAGUGAAGUUCCUAGUGUAGCGGUGAAAUGCGCAGAUAUUAGGAGGAAUACCGGUGGCGAAGGCGACUUUCUGGCCAUAACCUGACGCUGAGGUACGAAAGCGUGGGUAGCAAACAGG
rnacentral:rRNA from 1 species